UUGGGGUUGCGGACAUAUCAUAACGAAGAGGUAUCGUAAUUGAAGAGGUUUGGAAAGACCCACCACAGAAGGUAAUAGUCCUGUAUGUUAAACGAGAAGACUUUAGAUAUGAUCCAGAGUACCACGGGACACGUGAAACCCUGUGGGAAGCAGGAGGGACCACCCUCCAAGGCUAAAUACUACCUAGUGACCGAUAGCGUAUAGUACCGUGAGGGAAAGGCGAAAAGAACCCCGGGAGGGGAGUGAAAUAGAACCUGAAACCCUGCACUUACAAGCUGUGGAAGCACAUUUCUUGUGUGACCGCGUACUUUUUGUAGAACGGGCCAACGAGUUACGUUAAGUAGCAAG
rnacentral:rRNA from 1 species